UGCAGAGUUGUUAGAAACCACAGUCGUUUCUGUCUUGUGGUAAGCUGUGUGGUGUGCUCUCAGUGUGCAGUGAGCUGCAUUGACUUCUCAGUGGUCUUCCUGCUCUUCUCCCUUACUGGGAUAUCCUCCUGCAGCAAGGAAAGACUCUCCAGAUAAUUACAAGUUUCUCUUUGUGGAGAGAAAUAACAACACUGAAGUGGAAGUGUUUCUUGUGAAAUGCUGAGAUGCCUAAAUUGUCAGAAGAUUGGAGAAAAGUACCUGAAGGACUACAGGAAGGAGUAAUUGUAGCAUAUAAUUGAUUACCCAGAGGAUGAGGAGCCAACACGUCUGAAGAACCAAGCAGUGUCUGGAUCUGGUAAAACACUGCAGAAACUGAGUUCUGGAAGAUUUUCUUUGCUGAAGUCCAAGUACCUUGUGGUCUUCAGGGAUGUUAAUCUUAGCUGCUUCCUGCCUGCUCUAACGCUUUAGAGAUGCUGCUCCUUACAGGAAUGCCCUCACUGACAGAGGAGCAAGUUCAAAGUGUGCUGCUCGACUAGCCCAGAAAAGAAGAGACAUGUCACUGAAUGUGUGCUUUGUUCAGCUUUGAAUUGCAUCUGGGAAAUUAAAGACAUUCAAACUUGAAAGGAAUUGCAGUGCAAAUGAAUUAGCAUCAAGACUUAUUUGCAUCUAGAUACAUAUUCUGAUUGCAUCUU